GGAAUAUUGCACAAUGGGCGAAAGCCUGAUGCAGCAACGCCGCGUGGGGGAUGACGGCCUUCGGGUUGUAAACCUCUUUUAGUAGGGAAGAAGGACUUCGGUUUGACGGUACCUGCAGAAAAAGCACCGGCUAACUACGUGCCAGCAGCCGCGGUAAUACGUAGGGUGCAAGCGUUGUCCGGAAUUAUUGGGCGUAAAGAGCUCGUAGGCGGUUUGUCGCGUCUGCUGUGAAAACCCGAGGCUCAACCUCGGGCCUGCAGUGGGUACGGGCAGACUAGAGUGCGGUAGGGGAGAAUGGAAUUCCUGGUGUAGCGGUGGAAUGCGCAGAUAUCAGGAGGAACACCGAUGGCGAAGGCAGUUCUCUGGGCCGUUACUGACGCUGAGGAGCGAAAGCGUGGGGAGCGAACAGGAUUAGAUACCCGAG
rnacentral:rRNA from 1 species